CCCGGGUCCUCCGGGUACUGAAAAUCCCGGAAAAACGUCGGGAAAAUCCGGGAAAACACCUGGAAAAUCUGGGGAAAAUGCCUGGAAAAUCCCAGAGAAAAUCCCGGAAAAACAUCCUGGAAAAUCCCAGAUAAAAUCCCGGAAAAAACGCCUGAAAAUCCAGAAAAACAUCCUGGAAAAUCCGGGGAAAAUAUCCAGGAAAAGCCAGGAAAAACAUCCUGGAAAAUCCCAGAGAAAAUCCCAGAAAAUUCCAGAGAAAAUCCCGGAAAAAAACGCCAGGAAAAUCCCAGAGAAAAUCCCAGAAAAACGCCAGGAAAACACCUGGAAAAUCCGGGGAAAACUGCCUGGAAAAUCCCAGAAAAACAUCCUGGAAAAUCUGGGGAAAAUACCUGGAAAAUUCAGGAAAAACAUCCUGGAGAAUCCCAGAAAAACUGCCUGGAAAAUCCCCGGAAAACAUCCUGGAAAAUCCAGAAAAACAUCCUGGAAAAUUCAGGGAAAACCUCUUGGAAAAUUCCAGAAAACCGCCUGGAAAAAAUCCAGAGAAAACCAUCUGGAAAAUCCCAGGAAAAACUUCCUGGAAAAUCUGGGAAAAUCUCCAGGAAAAUCCGGAAAAACCACCUGGAAAAAAUGGGAAAAACCACCUGGAAAAUCCGGGAAAAUCUCCAGGAAAAUCCGGAAAAAACAUGUGGAAAAUCUGGGAAAAACCGCCUGGAAAAUCCGGGGAAACUUCCAGAAAAUCCUCCAGAAAACAGGGAAUUCCCCCGGAGCCGGAAAUGCCGGAGGUGUUCCCAGGAAAUUUCUGGAAUUCCAGGUGGGAUUUGAUGCCCUGAGCAAAAAAUUCCCAAAAUUCUCAUUUGGAUUUGAUGCCCUGGGUGCGAAAUUCCCAAAAUUCCUGGAAUUUCUGGGUGGAUCCGGUGCCCAGAGCAGCAAAUUCCCAAAAUAUUCCAAGAAUUCCCAUCCUGUUUCCCAGGGGGGAGAUUUUUGGGAAUUCCAAUGGGUUUGGGAAUGUCCCGAUGGAAAAAUUCCCUUUUUUUUUUUUCCUUGGGAUUUGUAAAUAUUAUAAAUAAAUCCAUGGAAUUCCCAAGGAAAUUCCGUUAU
rnacentral:lncRNA from 1 species